rnacentral:rRNA from 1 species
AGGAAAUAGAUACCCCGGUAGUCCACGCUGUAAACGAUGAGUGCUGGACGUUGGCGGGUUUACCUGCCGGUGUCGCAGCUAAACGCGUUAAGCACUCCGCCUGGGGAGUACGGCCGCAAGGUUAAAACUCAAAGGAAUUGACGGGGGCCCGCACAAGCGGUGGAGCAUGUGGUUUAAUUCGACGCAACGCGCAGAACCUUACCAGCCCUUGACAUGGGCGGACGGGGUCCAGAGAUGGACUCUUUCUCGCAAGAGACCGCUACACAGGUGCUGCAUGGCUGUCGUCAGCUCGUGUCGUGA